rnacentral:rRNA from 1 species
UACGUAGGGGGCAAGCGUUGUCCGGAUUUAUUGGGCGUAAAGAGCGUGUAGGCGGCCGCACAGGUCCGUUGUGAAAACUGGAGGCGUAACCUUCAGACGUCGAUGGAAACCGUGCGGCUAGAGUCCGGAAGAGGAGAGUGGAAUUCCUGGUGUAGCGGUGAAAUGCGCAGAUAUCAGGAAGAACACCCGUGGCGAAGGCGGCUCUCUGGGACGGUACUGACGCUGAGACGCGAAAGCGUGGGGAGCGAACAGG